rnacentral:lncRNA from 1 species
AUACUUUGUAUUUGAAAAUUAGGAUGUUACGGAUAAAAUAAAUAAAUAAAUAAAUAAAAAAUAAAACUUUUCUGAAAUUUAAAAAACAAGUGUGCAUACGAAUGGUUAUUUAUUAGUACAAAACGGUCGCAAAUAAGUAGCCAUUUUCCAUCACAAUCCCAAUUAUUAUUUAGUAGUACUAUUCACUACAUAACCCGCACUCUUUUAAAAGGUAUUCAUGAGGUAUUCAUGGUCCUAAAAUCCAAUGUUGAAGCCAACUUAAUAUAUUACAAUCAAUAAUGAUAAGCUAUAUAUACUAUUGAGGGGCAAUUUCAGGUAGCUAUCACUCUUUUAAAAGGUAUUAAUGAUCCUAAAAUCCAAUGUUGAAGCCAACUUAAUAUAUUACAAUCAAUAAUGAAAAGCUAUAUAUACUAUUGAGGGGCAAUUUCAGGUAGCUAUCACUCUUUUAAAAGGUAUUCAUGAU